CUACGGGGGGCUGCAGUGGGGAAUCUUAGACAAUGGGGGAAACCCUGAUCUAGCCAUGCCGCGUGAGCGACGACGGCCCUAGGGUUGUAAAGCUCUUUCAGCAGGGAAGAUAAUGACGGUACCUGCAGAAGAAGUCCCGGCUAACUCCGUGCCAGCAGCCGCGGUAAUACGGAGGGGACUAGCGUUGUUCGGAAUUACUGGGCGUAAAGCGCGCGUAGGCGGAUUGUUAAGUCGGGGGUGAAAUCCCGGGGCUCAACCCCGGAACUGCCCUCGAUACUGGCAGUCUUGAGUUCGAGAGAGGUGAGUGGAAUUCCGAGUGUAGAGGUGAAAUUCGUAGAUAUUCGGAGGAACACCAGUGGCGAAGGCGGCUCACUGGCUCGAUACUGACGCUGAGGUGCGAAAGCGUGGGGAGCAAACAGGAUUAGAUACCCUAGUAGUC
rnacentral:rRNA from 1 species